CCCUUAGAUGUUCUGGGCUGCACGCGCGCUACACUGAUGCGUUCAACAAGUUGGACCUUGUCCGAGAGGAAAUCGGGGGAAUCUUUUGAAAACGUAUCGUGAUGGGGAUAGAUUAUUGUAAUUAUUAAUCUUCAACGAGGAAUUCCUAGUAAGCGCGAGUCAUCAGCUCGCGCUGAUUACGUCCCUGCCCUUUGUACACACCGCCCGUCGCUCCUACCGAUUGAGUGCUCAGGUGAAUAAUUCGGACUGCAGCAAUGUUCGGAUCCCGAACGUUGCAGCGGAAAGUUUAGUGAACCUUAUCACUUAGAGGAAGGAGAAGUCGUAACA
rnacentral:rRNA from 1 species